AGACAUGGAGCCGGGGAGAUGGCUCAGUGGAGACAGCACUUCCUGUGUGAGCACAGAGACACCAGUUGGAUCUACAGCAUCCAUGUGGAAGCUCAGGUGUGGUGUCAUGCAUCUAUCCCUUCAGCAUUGGGUGGACCAGGCAGGAAGAUCCUGAGGAUGCCGUGCUCAUUCAGCCAGUCUUUGAGAAACUGCGAGCUCUGGGCUCAGUGAGAGAGUGGCUCAGAAACAAAACAAAAGUGCUGUACUCUGACUGAGUCUCCUUGCAUAGAAGAGGCACCAGCAGCCAUGGAGGCCAACUUGGAAUCCUGCUGAAGCCUUAUCUGAGCCACAGUGACCAGCCCUCACCAUGAGCCACCUCAUUCUGUCCCAUCAAGAUGGGACGUGCAGAUGGAGAACUGCAGGUGACAUCAUGCCGUGUCUACAGCUGCUCCAGGGUGGGCAGUUAGGUCUUCCACAACUACUGGUAUGACUCUCUGCCUCAUCCUCCUGCAUCAAGAUGUGAGCUCUCAGCUACUUCCUCAGCUCCCUGCCUGCCUGCUGUCAUGCUCCCUGCCAUGAUGGUUGUGGACUCACCCUCUGAACUGUAAACCCACAAUAAACUAUUCUAUAAGUU
ensembl:lincRNA Gm42865 predicted gene 42865